GCUGACUCCGGUCUAUAAGCCGCGGUAAUAAGGAGGGAGCCUUCGUGUGUCGGAAUGACGUGGAUGAAAGCGCACGUAGGCGGCUAAUCAAGGCUGAGGUGAAAGCGCUGUGCUCAACCCCGGAACUGCCUUUGAAACUAGGGAGCUAGAAGCUUGGAGAGGGCAGUGGAAUUCCGAGUGUAGAGGUGAAAUUCGUAGAUAUUCGGAAGAACACCAGUGGCGAAGGCGACUGACUGGACAAGUAUUGACGCGGAGGUGCGAAAGCGUGGGGAGCAAACAGGAUUAGAUACCCGGGUAGUC
rnacentral:rRNA from 1 species